GUUUCAUCAUCCUGGCCAUCUCUGAGGACAGGACUGUCGCCAUUGUUGUACCAAUCCUGUGUCCUCUCGGUGUUCCUCUCGACGUGCUGCUCAUCGUCCUGAGCAAAUUUAUCAGCCCUAUAAUCACGGAAACGUCGGUUGGCAUCUACCUGCCAUUGAUCCUGACGCAUCUUCCUACGAGCUAAUUCCAGGAGGUAUCUCUCUCGUAGCACAUCCAGAGGAUUCACGAUUGAUAAGGAACCCAAUCUCUUUGGACGCAGUAAUGGCGAAUCGCGACCACUGUUCGAGUCGAACGGCUCCAUCUGCAAUUGACGAUGACGCGUGUGCUGGAUACGAUAAUGUAGAGAAUUAAAGGAAGUACUGGGAGUGGCGAUGAGGGAAAUGCAACUGAAAGAUCGAAAUACGAACACGAUUCUCAUAUGGCAAAGGGACAAAGGGUGUCUAUUACUUAUUAAUCUACACGGUGGACGCUUUUUAUUCAGAUUCUCUUUACACAAAGUACUUUUGAUGGGGAUUUUUAUUUGUGACAAGCCUAAGAAUUUACCACGCAUCAAGCGGCAUUGGAUUAGACCAUAAGAAGCCGCUGAUCGAACUCGCAUAAUAAAUAACGUUAAGAUGCGAUUUGAGUAUCACGAUACAUCCCAGAAGAAAUGAUUAUAUAUAAUCAUAUAAAAUGAAACGAUAUCAGAAGGUGUAAAAUCGAAGCAGCACUUACACCUCAGAUGCAUACUGCAUUUGUGGGAAAAUUUUAUAUUCACUGUACAGCACGAAGAUGCUUUUAGCGUUUAGUACUUUUUUUUUCCUGGCGUCAUUCUAUCUUAGUUGUUGAAGGAACAAAAAUUAAACUAGCCCAGGGCGCAUAUGUUUUACCGAAAGACAAAAGAAAAAAGAAUGUUAGAGUAUUAAAAUAGGAAAAUUAAAAUUGCAGGUAACUCGGUACGUAUGAGCCGUUUAAACUUUUAUGAGAGAAAAAUAAAUUACUAAAUUGUACCAGAAUGCAAUAUUCGCUGAAAUUUCAAGAUACGAAUCCAGACUCGCUCAACUGUUUCAUAAAGAGAUCUUUCGGUUACAAUCCACUACGUUUCCUACCACGCUCAGGGUAAUAAGACAGAAUGAUCUCGUUUAUAUAGCUAUCGCAGUGUAUGUACACUACGCUAUCGCAAUGUUUCCUUCUCCCAUUUUCAAUUGCGCCCCAAGGAGAAAAUAUGUUCAGGUUAUAUCAAGACCAUACGUAUCCCUAUACCGAUCGGACUAUCAUACUUGGCGAUAACGUGACUUUUUCCUUAUACCCAGCAUUUACCAAUCAUAGCAAAUGUACAUAAAAUGAGAAAACGAACGUUGAGUUAUAAAUAAUUUAGGAUAAACGAAGCAAAAAGUUUAUCGUCAAUUUCUUUGGCAAUUGUUUUUCAUUUGGGAAAACGAGAGGAAGUGAAAAUGAAGAAAAAUGUUAUACUGGUAAUUCAACUAAAGUACAUAUUGUCGGAUCUAGUUAUUGGAAAUUUCACAAAGCCCAAUGUCUGACUUGUUCGUGGAAUUAAGAUCAUAUUGCUGUUCUUCAAUCGUACCUCCAAUCCUGGGAUUUGAUUCAAGAGGAGCAGAAGCUCUGGACGAUCCGCCAUUUGAAGUUCCCGCCUACGAUACGUCGGAUAGGAAAGUGGCG